UAAGCGGUUUAAUGAAUGUUUUUAAAUACAACUUAACAUAAAUAAUAGACUAGAAUUAACAAUAUUAUUUUACAGAUUAUCAUAAAACCAAGUUUUUAGUUUGAGUGUAAAAUGCGAAUAAUUUGAACAUUUACCUAUUAUAUCUGCAAUGUUCUCUAAUGACCUUAGAUCAACUUGAUUGAAUGUAUUAGAUGCUUUCUUGGUGUUCAUAAAUAAAAUUUCGAAAUAUUUUUUUCUAAGAUUAUGGAGAUUGUUUUUAAUUGUAAAAGCUUUAGUUUUAUAAAUAAAACAUAUCGCUUGCUUAUUGUAAAGUUUUUCUAUUUCUAGUAUUCGAAAUAGUUUGAAUAGCUCUUUUGAAGGGAAAGUUUUUGGUUUAUUUAAGAUAAUUUUUAUUAUAUUCUUUUGUGGCAUAGUUAAAUUAUAUUUUUAUAAUAGGGUGCACCUACCCUAAGCGAUUAUUCCGUAUUGUACUAAAGAUUGACCAUUGCAAAGUAUGUUAUUCUAAGGUAGUUUUAGCUUAGUAUUUUUUUAGCUGUUAGGAAAAAGUAAGUUAGUUGUCUCAAUUUAUUAUAUUUUCUAUGUGAAUAUCCCAUUUUAAAUUUUGAUCAAUUAUUAUACCAAGGUAUUUAAUGGAUGUGUGUUUAAUGUAUAUUAUAUUCAUAAUUAUAUAUCGUAUAUUAUUAUAAUUAGAAUAAAACAAUGUCUUUAGUGCAUUAGGUAUAUUAUAUUGUUAU